UUAAGCAUAUCACUAAGCGGAGGAAAAGAAACUAACAAGGAUUCUCCUAGUAACGGCGAGUGAAGCGAGAAAAGCCCAGCACCGAAUCCCACAUGCCUUGCGCUGUUGGGAAAUGUGGUGUUUAGGACGUUUACUGGCGUUGUCUUCUGGUACCCAAGUCCUCCUGAUCGGGGCCUUUCCCAGAGUGGGUGUCAGGCCUUUACCGGCACUAGAGGCAGCGGCUAUGGACGUCCUUGGAGUCGGGUUGUUUGGGAAUGCAGCCCAAAGUGGGUGGUAAACUCCAUCUAAGGCUAAAUACCGGCACGAGUCCGAUAGCGGACAAGUACCGUGAGGG
rnacentral:rRNA from 1 species